rnacentral:rRNA from 1 species
AGAUCCGCUCAUUCCAAAUACCAAGCGUGAGAGGCCGGUAUUGUUAUUUAAUGGUCCUCCCCCCCCGGAAUCCCGUUGGGAACCCCC